rnacentral:tRNA from 1 species
GGAGGCUGCCAUUCUCGACCAAACCGGGCCCGCUCUCGGGGGUGUCUCAUUCGCAACGAGAAGGUCAGGGGUUCGAAUCUCCUUAGCUCCACCA